rnacentral:rRNA from 1 species
ACGAACGCUGGCGGCGUGGAUAAGACAUGCAAGUCGAACGAGAGAAUUGCUAGCUUGCUAAUAAUUCUCUAGUGGCGCACGGGUGAGUAACACGUGAGUAACCUGCCCCCGAGAGCGGGAUAGCCCUGGGAAACUGGGAUUAAUACCGCAUAGUAUCGAAAGAUUAAAGCAGCAAUGCGCUUGGGGAUGGGCUCGCGGCCUAUUAGUUAGUUGGUGAGGUAACGGCUCACCAAGGCGAUGACGGGUAGCCGGUCUGAGAGGAUGUCCGGCCACACUGGAACUGAGACACGGUCCAGACACCUACGGGUGGCAGCAGUCGAGAAUCAUUCACAAUGGGGGAAACCCUGAUGGUGCGACGCCGCGUGGGGGAAUGAAGAUCUUCGGAUUGUAAACCCCUGUCAUGUGGGAGCAAAUUAAAAAGAUAGUACCACAAGAGGAAGAGACGGCUAACUCUGUGCCAGCAGCCGCGGUAAUACAGAGGUCUCAAGCGUUGUUCGGAAUCACUGGGCGUAAAGCGUGCGUAGGCUGUUUCGUAAGUCGUGUGUGAAAGGCGCGGGCUCAACCCGCGGACGGCACAUGAUACUGCGAGACUAGAGUAAUGGAGGGGGAACCGGAAUUCUCGGUGUAGCAGUGAAAUGCGUAGAUAUCGAGAGGAACACUCGUGGCGAAGGCGGGUUCCUGGACAUUAACUGACGCUGAGGCACGAAGGCCAGGGGAGCGAAAGGGAUUAGAUACCCCUGUAGUCCUGGCAGUAAACGGUGCACGCUUGGUGUGCGGGGAAUCGACCCCCUGCGUGCCGGAGCUAACGCGUUAAGCGUGCCGCCUGGGGAGUACGGUCGCAAGAUUAAAACUCAAAGAAAUUGACGGGGACCCGCACAAGCGGUGGAGUAUGUGGCUUAAUUCGAUGCAACGCGAAGAACCUUACCUGGGCUUGACAUGUAAUGAACAACAUGUGAAAGCAUGCGACUCUUCGGAGGCGUUACACAGGUGCUGCAUGGCCGUCGUCAGCUCGUGUCGUGAGAUGUUUGGUUAAGUCCAGCAACGAGCGCAACCCCUGUUGCCAGUUACCAGCACGUGAAGGUGGGGACUCUGGCGAGACUGCCCAGAUCAACUGGGAGGAAGGUGGGGACGACGUCAGGUCAGUAUGGCCCUUAUGCCCAGGGCUGCACACGUACUACAAUGCCCAGUACAGAGGGGGCCGAAGCCGCGAGGCGGAGGAAAUCCUAAAAACUGGGCCCAGUUCGGACUGUAGGCUGCAACCCGCCUACACGAAGCCGGAAUCGCUAGUAAUGGCGCAUCAGCUACGGCGCCGUGAAUACGUUCCCGGGUCUUGUACACACCGCCCGUCACAUCAUGGAAGCCGGUCGCACCCGAAGUAUCUGAAGCCAACCGCAAGGAGGCAGGGUCCUAAGGUGAGACUGGUAACUGGGAUG